CACUGCACAGCUUCUAACUACUGAAGCAGGCUUUCCCUUGGGAGCUGAACAACUCAAGUUUGAAGGGGAUGGAGAUCCCUCUGCUGAGAAAAAUGCAUGGUCUGGAAAAAAUAUGAAACAUGUGAACAUCUCUCAUCAUCUCUAUAAUCUACAAACCCUUCUGGAUGGGCUUACUAGCACAUCCCUGGAGAGACAGCAGCCUGUGUGUCUCUGGACUUCAGACUCAUCACAAUCUGUACAGCAAACCUCGUGGUAGAUAAAGAAUUGACGUCAAUUCACCACAGGAGGGUAAAGCAGUUUCAGGUGAGACUGGUAACACCCGCAGUAUUGGGAUGAGGAGACUGGCUUAUUCUUACAGGAAAUUUCUGAAGGUUGCACAGGGAGAAGCAACUCAAGACAUCAACUUUUUCUGCACUUGCACCUGUUCUGCAGCAGUUGCUGUAGGUUGAUGAAGCCCUUCUGCACUGAAGCAGCCGGCAUCCCUCACAAUGGAAUGUGAUCAGAAGGCAAGUGAACAUGCCUUCAGCUCAUAUCUCAGUCUCUGUCCCUGGUUCCAGGCCGGUCUUGUGGAAGGAAAAUGAUGUUAACAUGCACCUGAUAUAAACCGAGUAUCUGAAAGCAGAAGGUGAUUCUCCUUCCUGAAAUGUAAAUAAGACACCCAGCUCAGUGUUUCCUUUUCCAAGGAUCGGUUCUUUCGGCGCUGCGGAGGAGCCGGCUCCCUGCGGCGGUCGGGGCCAUCUCCGGCAGCGCACUGCCCCCUAGCACCGCCGCGCACAUUCCUGCGCCAUGGAGCGAGAGGGACCCUGCUCAGCCAGCGGCACCUGCGGGACGCGCCUUUCCCUGGGAAUUUUCACAGCGACUGUGGACCCAGCCCAGUCAUGCUGGGCUUGCGGGAUCCGACAGGAUCACAGCAUGAAGCUGUGCGGCUGCUCGGUAAGGCAGAGAUGUCCUUAAUUCUGUUCAGCAGUGUGCUCUUGAUGGAACACUGGAAUAACACGGAUUUCUUUAUUUGGUGACAUUAACCAAAUGUGAACUCCGAUUUUCUCAUAUGAAGAUCAAGGUGUCUAUUUUCUCCUUCUUUCAAUGCUGUCUUCUUUAUGGCCAUAUAAGGUUUAAAGUUUUAUCUGAGCAAAGAAGCGGAAUGAUAGUUUGAUAGUUUUUAUUUUAUUUUUUUCCCUUUGCAGUUUUUCCCAUGCAGACAGUGCAUAGAGGAGGAAUUCAGAGAUAAUUCUCCUUUCAGUUCCUUCAUUGACUUUUUCUGUUACUCUGACACCAUUAUCAAUAUUUUCUCAUAUAAAUAAACACUCAGAAUCCUUGCCUGGCUUUUUCAGAGUUCACUUUGCUGGCAGGUCUUAAAGGGGAUAGGCUAAUAUUUGAUAUCUAAUAGAUAUUAUCAGAUGCUAACAUAGAAUAUCUCCAUUUACAGAUGAUAAAAUGAGUGUACAGGGAGAUUAAAGUAUUUAACAAAGGCCUUGAGCAGGCCACUGGCCAGACUGAACUUUCCUGAG